AUGCUGACUAAGUACAUCAUCGGAUGUAUGGCCUUGAUAGGAUUCAUGAUUCUACUUGCAGUAUUCAUAUUCUGCAUCACCUGUCUCCUCUCACUGAAAGCAAAGAGGAACGGACACCUCAUCAUAACAAGAUCGCCCAGUGACCAGACAUUGCCAGGAGACCCUACCGUAACAAGUAUGUAUGAUGCCACAGUGAAGUGUACGUGUGUUGGCCUAUUAUUAUAGAGAUAUUUACCACAGUCCCGUUUUAACAGCACAUUUCUGUGAUUCUGUUAACACAGCAAGUGACACAACAAAUCCUGUAGAAUCUCCACAGGAAAAGGAGGCAAUACCAUGACAUAAUUAUGUUUUUAUGUAGCUGCCUCACGCUCUUCCUCUACUUUACCACCAUAGUGCUUUUUUUGGUUUUCUGUGCAUAAACAGUACAGUGGGCUGGCACACAACACAUAAGUAUGUUAUAAAUGAAAAACUGUUGGAAUGGUGGUUUAUUGAAAGGAUUUGAUGAUUUGAUGUUUUCUUUCUAAUAGUGAUUUGUCCUCAUUCCUUUGUUGCAAUAACAGGAAGGUGAAGAUGAUUGGUGCUAUGCCACCGUGUCCCAUGCUGGUGCUCCUCCAUCCUACUCAGUCAAGUUUGAGCAAGGCCAUGACUAUGCCACAAUGGUCAUAUACUGACCAGCAUGUGCCGACCUAAAUGGACAUGAAAGGACUGUUACGUUUCCCAGUUUCUGUGUUGUGGUUUGUGUAUUUGUAUGUUUUUAUUUCUGCAAAUGGCUUCCUGAAAUUCUCCAAGCAGCUGAUUGGUCGGCCCCAUUACUGAUUGGAGAGCUGACCCCGCCUCCUCGUCAGGAUACAGCUGUCUCCAAUUAACAACUCCUUCUCCAGCUAUAUAAGCCCGUGUUCUGUUGCUCAGAGAGAGGGAUGAUUGCUGAGAGAGAAGGCUGAUGGCUAAUUAUGUGUUGUUCAGAGAUUUCUUAAGUAUUGUGUAGCUGCUGAUUUGAGGUAUGUGUGUGUGCCAAUAGAACUGUGGUUUUGAUUGUUGGAAUUACUUACUUACAUUUGUAUUUGUUUCGUUUGUUCCCAGGGGGGAAGGGGAAGGCACCUAGGGAGUGCUUAGGCAAGAGGCCCGUGUGCAUACAUUACCCGUAGUAGUUUGUCUAUGCACACUAGGAAAGACCUGGGCGGACCAUCCCCUCUAUUUUGGUUCGUGCACCAGGUGGUGCUAGUUAAGGAAUGGGUAGGCAGGUAAGGAAAGAGGGGGCUUUAAUAUUUACUUUCUUUGCUUUGGUUCCGUCCAGCCCCUUUUCCCCAAACUCGCCGUGCGACGGAAUAAAUUCCCUGUAAACGGUGUUCUCUGCCUUUUGUCAUCCUUACUCACACCUACAGUCCAUACCUCUUUCACACCACAGAGAGUUGAGUUGUAGCAGGGUGUUGCGUUCCCUCUUCCGAGAGGCGUGCGUAACAAGGACUUCCACAUAGAUUGUUUGAUUUUAACACCUCCAUUUCAAUUUUCUUUCCAAGAAAUCAAUUGCACUAAUGUAUUUUCAAUGUAGUUUUGAUCAUCCAAUUUGUCACUUUAAGAGAACAAUUAAGUUUUUGUAUUCCACCAUCCGCUUAAUUUCUGUUUGUCUCGUGUGCACCUGUCAGUCCCAGUCACAGGAAACAGUAACAUUGCGCUCACUACUUUUCGCUGACCAGGCACUCAUCUUUGCUUACCUGCUGAAUGCUUCUAAAUGUAAGCCAUUGACUUAAAGUAAUUACUUCUUAGGGUACUCUAAUGUCUCAAUUAAAUUGAAAUCACAUGUUAAGUCAGCUACUUUUAUAAAUUCCAUGAGGGUUAAGUCUACUCCAAAUGUGCACGGUCCGUGGGUAAAUUGGCAAGUUUUCAAACUGUUUUCUCACGGUGUGGUGGUUACAAACUACUCUACUUCUACCCGGCCGUAGCAAUACAAGACACGUUUAUACCACUAGAUGGCAAUGUUGAAUCCUGUUUUGCAACAAUUUUAAGAGCUCCUCGUAGGCAGGGAAAACCCUUUUUGGACAUUUAUGUUAUUGGAAUAGGCUAUCAUCAAAAUAAAUCAAUUGUACAAUACCAUUGGAAAUUAAUGUUGCAUUUGUGUUCCUAAAAUGUAAAUUGAAAAGGUAUUGUCGCUGCUUCCUGUUGACAAGCCAUUUUGAUAAAUAGCCCAAUGUCAAAACACAGUUUAGAGAUUUGAUUAGAGUUUUAUAGUCACAUCAUGCACAGGGUUGCAGAUGUAAUUACAGGGCACAAGCUCCAACAAUGCAGGACAAAGUGAAAUAAAAUAAUACAAAUAGAUAAUAUAAAUAAAUACAUUUUAACAACUUUGUCAUUGAUAGAUGUCCAUUGGGGGUGGGGACAGGGUUAACGUCCGUUAGAGGGGAUGAGAAAUGUCCACAGGAGGAGCAGCAGGGUGAGUAGGUGACUAGUUGUGACUAUUCAGCAUAAUACAUGUCUAUUGGGGGGAGGGCAGGGUAAAAAUGUCCUUUGAGGUGGGGGGUAGAAGCCUGAUGGUCUGGGGGUAGAAGCUAUUGGCCAGUCUUACAGUUUUUACCAUGAUGCUCCUAUACUGCCUGCGUCUGAGAGAUAGAACGGGGAGAACAGGCCAUGGCUCAGGUUGCUGGGGUCCCUGAUUAUCUUCUUUGCCUUCCAGCGAUACUUGGUGUUGUAGGUGUCCAAAUCAAUAAGCAAUAUGCAGAAACAGUUCGUUACAUAUUGAAAACCUAAACCUAAAAUCUAUCUACACAUGUGCACCAAUUGUAAUCAUAUUACUUGUAUUUUUUUAAACGAGCACCUUAUAAACUGCACAUGCACCGAAACCCUGGUGUUUUGACAAGUGGCAAUAAAUCACUGAUAUCGAUUAGGUGGGAGGGAUUAAGGUUGUAGCGCUGUUGAAACUAACACAACUAAAAACAACACAUGGAAACUGGAGAUAUUUAAUUACAUCACUGGUUAGAGAACAACCUGCAGAAUUCAGAAAUCAUCUACAUUUUAGAGUGAGGCAAUUUGAUUUGGGGGUCUCCAAAACAGAAAGAGAAACGCUACACAUAUUUUCCAAUCUCUCAUACCUGCAGAAGUCAGAAAUAAUUUCACUCCCUGACCUUAGAGAGCCUUUUUUUAUUCUCUAUUUUGUUAGGUCAGGGUGUGACUUGGUUGGGCAUAUCUAUGUUUCUAUUUCUUUGUUGGCCUAGUAUGGUUCCCAAUCAGAGGCAGCUGUUCAUUGUUGUCUCUGAUUGGGGAUCAUACUUAGGCAGCCCUUUUUCCCACCUGUGAUUGUGGGAUCUUGUUUGUGUAUAGUUCCUUUCUCCACUGCAUAUAGCUUUACAUUUGUUUUCUGUUGUUUUUUCCCAUUGUAAUUUUUAUUAAAAAAGAAAAUGUACGCCUACCACGCUGCAUCUUGGUCCAGUUCUUCAGACGAGCAUAACAAAUCAGCUAUAUUUUGGAGUGAGGCAAUUUGAUAUGGGGGUA
rnacentral:lncRNA from 8 species